UCCCUGGUAGCUCAGUAGAUAAAGAAUCUGCCUGCAAUGCAGAAGACCCAGGUUCAGUUCUUGGGUUGGGAA
rfam:TPA: Bos taurus chromosome 4, whole genome shotgun sequence.